rnacentral:rRNA from 1 species
UACGUAGGGUGCAAGCGUUGUCCGGAAUUAUUGGGCGUAAAGGGCUCGUAGGCGGUUUGUCGCGUCGGGAGUGAAGACAUCUGGCUUAACUGGGUGCUUGCUUUCGAUACGGGCAGACUGGAGGUAUGCAGGGGAGAACGGAAUUCCUGGUGUAGCGGUGAAAUGCGCAGAUAUCAGGAGGAACACCGGUGGCGAAGGCGGUUCUCUGGGCAUUACCUGACGCUGAGGAGCGAAAGUGUGGGGAGCGAACAGG